CCUACGGGAGGCAGCAGUGAGGAAUAUUGGUCAAUGGACGAGAGUCUGAACCAGCCAAGUAGCGUGAAGGAUGACUGCCCUAUGGGUUGUAAACUUCUUUUAUAAAGGAAUAAAAUGAAGUACGUGUACUUUUUUGUAUGUACCUUAUGAAUAAGGAUCGGCUAACUCCGUGCCAGCAGCCGCGGUAAUACGGAGGAUCCGAGCGUUAUCCGGAUUUAUUGGGUUUAAAGGGAGCGUAGGUGGAUUGUUAAGUCAGUUGUGAAAGUUUGCGGCUCAACCGUAAAAUUGCAAUUGAUACUGGCAGUCUUGAGGACAGCAGAGGUAGGCGGAAUUCGUGGUGUAGCGGUGAAAUGCUUAGAUAUCACGAAGAACCCCGAUUGCGAAGGCAGCUUACUGAACUGUAACUGACGUUGAUGCUCGAAAGUGUGGGUAUCAAACAGGAUUAGAUACCCGUGUAGUC
rnacentral:rRNA from 1 species